AGAGAGAGAAAGAAGAUCUGAUCUUGGGUCCGGCGUACGGCCGGCGCGUGAGCGAGCGUGCCGUCGCCGGAGCCUUUCGCUUUCCCAUUGAAGAAUACUCCCCUGCUUCUCCCUCGUCUCCUUUCCUUAUCGCCUUGUCGGAGCUCUGGUUGAGGCAUCAUCCGUCGUCGUCUUCUUGGGGAUGGUGGCGCAGUGCUGGAGUAACGACGCGAUAGGAGGGUGGGUGUGGUGAAGUCGGUUUGUUAGAUUAGGUCUCAUUUCCGGGAGGUGGAGGCUUAUAAAGCUCUAUCGCCGCCGGCUGUGUUACCGGGAGGUGGAGGCUUUCUUAGCUCUGCCUUCGCCGGCUUAAGUUUCCGGGAGGUGAAGGUGUUCUUUGCCUUGCCUCGCCGGCUUUGGUAACCUAGUUUUGUUUUAGGUUUUUUCUUUAUCUCUGUGAUUUCGGGUUGGUGUUGAUGGAGGAGCUCUCAUCGGAGGAUAAUUGACGCUCUACGGUGGUUUAUGGUGAUGGUUUGUGCGAAGUCUUCUUACCGGUGGUGGUGAUUAAAGAUGGCGGAUGAGAUCUCGUCCAUGCGAUUGAUGCUCUCCGAUAAUAGAAAGCAUCGGAUUUGAAGGCAUUUGCGGUGUUGAUGGGGUGAGCUGAUUAGCUCUGAUUUGUUCCGGUGGAUCGGUCGAUGGAUGGUUCACCGGGGGUGGCUUGAAAGGGGAGCGACGUCGUGACUCGAAGCGAUGGUUCACGGGUACGACGGCGUCCGGUUUAGUUUCUAGGGUUUCCUUAAUUGGGCUUGUGGGCCCUGUUUGUCGUUUUUAAGUUUCCCCCUUGUAUUGGG
rnacentral:lncRNA from 1 species